ensembl:lncRNA
GUGAAGACUGUGAGACACCGGCAGCGAUGCUUUCAAGUAGACUUCAGCUCUCCAGCAUACAGGACUUGAUGUGCAAUGUGUCCCACGGUGGUGGCACAGCCAAAUACAACAUCCAGAAGUUUGUUGAUUUCAUGGAUGCAAACAGAUCCAAGCUCGAGUUCUCCUGGAUCACUGCAGACAAAAGUGUCCUCGCAAACCACCUGGACCACGCGAAGCAGGUGAUAAGUAGCAGCUGCGACACUCUCGUCACCUCAAGCUGCUACCCAAACGUUGUCUAUGAAGGACAUGUCGUCUUAGAGGGGACGGUUCGAGAUUACACAGCCAAUUGCACAACUACCUGCCCUGCAAAAGGUCUGUUUGAUGGAAAAGGGGAGUCCUGCUUGACUGUAAUCCCUCCUUUCAUGAUUGCUGUCAUGGUUAUCCUGACAGUCCUACUGCUGGCAGGCCUCAUGGUGUGCCUCGUGCGCUCUAGAAGAAACAAUGGUGCACCCGUGAUGCAAGACUCCGCACUGCAGAGGAAAGUCCGAAUACCAGCU